UCAAACUUGGUCAUUUAGAGGAAGUAAAAGUCGUAACAAGGUCUCCGUUGGUGAACCAGCGGAGGGAUCAUUAUAGAGUUCUAACAAACUCCCAAACCCAUGUGAACAUACCUUCUGUUGCCUCGGCAGGUGCCCCGCCCCGCGCGGGGCGUCGAGCCUGCCGGCGGCCCAACCAACUCUGAUUAUUGCUGAGCUCUGAAUAUCGUAACAAAUAAGUUAAAACUUUCAACAACGGAUCUCUUGGUUCUGGCAUCGAUGAAGAACGCAGC
rnacentral:misc_RNA from 1 species